UACGAAGGGGGCUAGCGUUGUUCGGAUUUACUGGGCGUAAAGCGCACGUAGGCGGAUCGAUCAGUCAGGGGUGAAAUCCCAGAGCUCAACUCUGGAACUGCCUUUGAUACUGUCGAUCUGGAGUAUGGAAGAGGUGAGUGGAAUUCCGAGUGUAGAGGUGAAAUUCGUAGAUAUUCGGAGGAACACCAGUGGCGAAGGCGGCUCACUGGUCCAUUACUGACGCUGAGGUGCGAAAGCGUGGGGAGCAAACAGGG
rnacentral:rRNA from 1 species